rnacentral:lncRNA from 1 species
CCCCUGUGGACAUUGUCAAGGAAAGAGUAGAGUCACAUCACCUAGCUACUGGGUUCAGUGAUAUGUCAUAAUCCCUUCUGUGGGCUGGGCCCACAUAAGGAGAGUCAAAUCACUUGGGUGCUGGGAAGAGGCACAUGUCACACGUGCAAGAAGGUCCAAGGAUGAGAUUAAAAAUUCCACAAAGGUCCAAAUUCUAGGGCCCAGACAGAAGAGAAGAGUCACAUCAUCUAGAUGAUGAAUGAAAAGAUAUGUCAUUAUUCUCCUUUGGGCAGUGCUUCUGCAGAAAAGUUGCACCUUCUAGGUGUUGGACUCAGCAAUAUAUCACAAUGUCUGCAGUAUUUUGGAAGGAGAGGAGAGUCACCAUUACUUAGGUGCUAGGCCCAGCAAUACAUCUCAAGCACUUCUUGGGCAAAGCCCAAGCAGUAAAAAAGAGUCACAUUACCUAGGUUCUGGGUAUAGCAAUAUGUCACAAAUGCCCCUAAGAAGAGGGCCCAGGAAAAGAGAGUCACCUUGUCUAUCUUCAAUUUACAGACCUUGGCUUUUCUACCCCAAUUCAAGAAGUCACUUCUUCAGUCAACCAAACCAAUUACAAAAUUGUGUUCCAAUGUCACAUGUUCAAAAAUAAACAGUUCCUGAAAAGAUGUAAGCUUUAAAUGGAAUUAGUCAGCAUUUUCAAUUUUGGUUAGUGCCUUUAAAGCUAGUUUAUCUCUGUUUCUAUAUUAAUCGGAAUGAAAAGAAACAUUUUUGACUUGGCAUUGAAUGACAGUUGUGAUUUUAGUAAAUUUCUUGCUCACACAUAGGAGCAACAAAAAAAUACUUUUUUUUUUUUGAGACAGAGUCUCACUCUGUUGCCCAGGCUGGACUGCAAUGGCACAAUCUCAGCUCACCACAACCUCCAUCCACCAAGUUCAACUGAUUCUCUUGCCUUAGCCUCCCAAGUAGCUAGGAUUACAGGCAUGUAUCACCAAGCCUGGCUAACUUUGUAUUUU